rnacentral:misc_RNA from 1 species
AGUUGAGUUGAGUUGAGUUGAAAUAUUUUAAUUGGUUUUUAGGUGCAACAGAGGUUGCUCUUAAUUUUGUGAUUUUAUUUUGGUGAUGCUUGAAUGAUUGCACUUCAUCUUAGGUUUUGGUUGUGUAGAAGCAAUUCUGGUACUACUUCAUUCUGAUUUUCUUAUUUGUAGCAUUGAUUAAUUAUCUUAGCAUAACCUGAUGUUAGGUACUCUGGAAAUCAGGAGAAGAAUAGGACAAUCGUAUAAAGUUGAUCUCCACUUGUUUUUGGUUUUCAAGAAAUAGGACAAUGAGAUGAAGUUGGGGGCCAAAGGGAGGGGCAAGCCAAGGGAGAGUUUGUGAGAUAAGAUAUGAAAAUGAGUUAUGGGGUUUUAUUUGAAUUAGGAUUAGUUUAGAAAGGGUUAUUUAUUUCUUUUCAUCUUUCUUACCUAGUUAUCUAACAGAAUCUUCAAGGACUAAAAUGCAUAAGUUUAAAAUGAUGGAGGCUAACCCUUUGUUUGGGAAGAGGUUUUUUAAAGUAAUCAAAGGUUUUUCAAGGUUUAAAUAUCUUGAACUUGUGUUAGGGAGAGUAGAAAGUUUUUUUAAAGUAGGGUUUUUAGAGGUUAACAAAAUUGGUGGGUUAACAAAAUUUUUUCUUUAGAACCUCCAAAUACUUUAAAAAGCCUUCCCUUUCUCCCAAACGCUAAAAAAUUAUGAAGGUUUGAAAUCUAUGAAAAACUUUACUCUACCUCCUUUCAAACGGAGGUUAAAGUGUUAAUAAUGCUAAACCUCAUGGGGGAAAGGCUAAAGUUUUAUUUUUUCAAUGUACCUUGGGAUCUAUUAAUUUUUAUGGUGGGAAGGCUCAAUGUUAAGCUGUUCCCAUUGGUUUGCCUUUGCAUAUUGAACUAUUGAAGUACAAAAUUGAUUAUUUUAUCAUAGUAUAGGCUUUUUGGUUGCUCCCUUCUUUUUAGCCUCCCAUUCCGUUCCACUAACCAAAAAAAGGCUCCCUGUGUCAUGUUACUAUUUGAACAAUGUGUACGAGCAUGCAACAAAGUAGUCUUCUUUUUCCCCUUAUGUCCCAAUUACUCUCCCAUGACACCAAAUCACUUUGCAUAGCAGCCAAAGAGCCGUUAUGUGAUAUUGUAUUAUAUACCAUUAUUCUUCUAAGCACUAUAGUUGUUAGACAUAUGUGAAGAAUUUUGUUUUAGAAAUUAAAGUUUUCAUGCUGAGACAAAGUUUGGGAGAAAGAAAACAUUUACAUUUGUUUAAGGUUUUUGAGUCAUUUAAAGGUCUUGACACGUGAAGAAUUUUGUUUUAGAAUUAGAAAUUAAAUUUUCAUGCUGAGGCAAAGUUUGGGAGAAAGAAAGCAUUUGCAUUUGUUUAAGGUUUUUGAGGCAUUUAAAGGUCUUGAUUUUUGGACUUCGUCAAUGGCUCAGUUAUCUAUGCAUUGUUGUGGAUUUUUGCACAUAUUUGAUUGCAAUAGUGAAACAGUAAAAAUGAAUCUAUUAUAUUGCAUGUGUGCUUAUAUUUCUGCAAUUUGUUAGGUUUGACAAUUCUAAAGCAGUUUUAUAGAACAUCUCUUUUUUAAAAAUGUUUUGAAAAUGUUGCUUUAAAAUCAAAACUGAUAGUCAAGGACUCAAGGCACAAUUUGAGAGGAAGAUACUACAUAAUUUGGCCAAAGUUUGGAGUGGAAGAUGUUAUAUCCUGUCUAUCCAAUCUAAGGCUUUUUAAGUAUUCAUAUGGUUUUGAAUUGCCUUGAUGAAUGAGGAACACUCAUGCACAAACCUUGUUCUAGUCAUUCUCUUUAAGAAUUAUACUGGUGGAAAAAAGAGUAAAGUUAGCCUAUGUUCAACUUGAUCAUUCUAUACUCAUACAUUUACAUUUCUACAAUUUGUUCUGGCUCAAAUAUUUUGAGAUAAAGGUGUAAGGAAUUUCCUCUUGAAACUAAAUUGUGAAGUUGAGGCAACUUUGAAGGGAGUAUGAUUCACAUUUUG